rnacentral:lncRNA from 1 species
AGUCCCUAUUCCCGCCCUGAAGGUGGCCAAAAGGCUGACUCCCUCCAAGCAGCCCGCCCGCGCCUCCAUCGCCCCCACCCACGUCCCACUCGCCAGCUGCGGACUGAACCCUCACCCUCAAGGGGGUGUAGGUAGGGAAAGAGUUUUGAGCAAGAUUGGGGGUAUCCCUUCAUCCGAAGAUUGUUUGGGAAAGGUUAGGAGCUCUAAAAUGUAUUGAAGCCAACUCUUAAGCGCAAAGUAAAAGAUAAUUUGCGUCCGUCUGCGAGGUAGGACUGAAGAUUCUAUAGAGUGGGCUUCCGAGGAGCAGGAGACACAGGGCGAGCAUGAGAACAUAGGUCUGGAAUGAGGUUCCACCGAGCGUCCGUAGUCUCCUUAGGCGACAUCUAUCGCUUCCUUUAGCACUUCGCAGGAGUCAACGCGGGGUUGGUUGCCCCCAACAGUGGAGCGUUUCCAUAAAGCCGAGCAGAUGAGCCUUCCCAGCCGCCUGCACUGCACCCUUCCCCGCCCCCAACUCCGUACUGGCACCCUGUGUGCCUGAAGGGCUGACACACGUUCUCCCAAAACCUUCAGAAGCGCUUUGCCUUGAAAGAGCUCUCCCUCGUGUGUGUGUGUGUGUGUGUGUGUGUGUGUGUGUGUGUGUGUGUGUGUGUGUGUUUAAACCAUCUCCAGGAUCCCUUAUCAUUUGCUUCCUCUCUCCUUUUUCUCUCUGUUUCUCCCUGUCUUUUUUCUGACGCUUAAGUUUCAGGAUCUUUUAGUUUUUUUCCAUCACAUACAUGUGUAGGUUUUCUGGUACAAACGCCCUGAAACAUCACUUGGGAGGUUAAGACAGGCCCGCGAGUAAAAGCUGGGGACGGAGUGGGUGGGCAGCCAGGUGCAUUACCAGCGCCUUUAUGCCUCUGCCUACACUUCCCGGCCUCCCCCCAUCCCCCCACCCCCCCACCCCACGCCUCACCGUCGCUCCCCGGCCCCACAACAUGAACUUGGAAGCAGAAUUUCAGGCCAAGAUGGAACCUCCCCGUCUCAGGAAGGCGAUUUCUGUUUAAUCCUUGGGAGGCUGCGCUGGCUGGGCCAGGCAGCACGCUCCUUUUCCGAUUAGGGAAAGGACUAAGCUGGGCCGGCAGUCUGCGACCCCUUCCCGGAACCCCAGCCGACUUCGGGGUAUACCUGAGCGCCUUCCGAUGGCUGCUCGCGGGGGUGUGAUCAUCGUCCCCGCAUCAGGCCCGCCAGGCAUCUGCGCGACUCGGGGGUAGGAGGGAGAUGCGUGGGUGGGAGGUGGGGGUCAAACCAAACACCGACAGGGCACACCUACGUUUAUGAUCCUUAAAUGAACUGCGAGGGAAAUUGUGUAAGUAUAAUUUAACUGAGAGAAAUUUAUUGCGAAAUACGCUUAGAGGACUGUGGUCUUUAACAGCCUCAGGGGUUCUUCGGCAAAGAGGUAACGGGGCUUGGAUUUACCACAACUCUGCGGCCACGUUUUCAAAUUUGGAAAAGCACAGAUGAGAAAAGAAGGUUCAGGUAAGUCACCCUUUGCAAACAUAACCAAAAUCUUCAAAGCAGGAGGAAGACUAGACGACUGCAUGCUUUAACCAUGAUGUGCCAGAUUACCUUAAAAAUGUACUUUAAAUUACCUACACACAAAUUUUCCUUAAAGAAUGAGAUAGUUUGAGUUUGCGGACUUAAAAUCAACUCAGUAGUUUUGAAAAGUGCCCCUCCCCCCCCCCACAGUCUUUCCAUUUUAAACUGUGAACCUAAUAUAACUUCUAGGCCUUUAUACAAUUAAUUCUGAACAAUCAAGGGACUAAACACUUUUACAAUGUAAUUACAGUAGUACAAAUUGUUUGCCCAAACCUCAUUCUGGAUAAGGAUUUUACAAUUAGCAAACAGUUAUUACAGUUGGGGCUUGCUGAGAGAAAUUGCACAGAGGAUGUCUAGAGUUGCAAUAUAGUAGCCAUAAAAAAAAAAAAAACUCCUUUAGCAGGGCAGCAAUUAAUCAUCUAUUAAAAGGAAACAAAUGAAGGGACAGGUCUAGGUAUCUUAGUAAACUACUGUCAAUAUUUAUGCCCAUUUUUUGACAGCCCCUAUUCCUAACUUAUUUCAGAUACUUGCUUUUUUAAGGCAAUAGCACUUUUAUUUUGCAAAAACUUGGCCUGGUGAAAACUUCUGGCACUUGGCCCUAGCUCUUGCGAUUCAGGCCUUCCGUUCUCUUCUCAUCCUUCUUAUCUCAGAGCAUCUUUCCAGAGAUAGAGAACGGUGACAAAAGGAGGCAGACUGGGCCCUUGGUCUCUAUUGUUUACACCCUCCUGUAUGGAGGCAUUUCAAGCCCUCAGUGCUCCUCUGAGCUGCUGGUAAAGUCGUCUCGGAGAACUCCCCUGACUUUAUGUUCUAUAAGGAAUUGUGCUUCUGGAAAGAUCUAUAUCCUAAAUUAGGCUUUUGUCCCAAAAGGUCACACUGAUGAGUCAGCUCCAAAACCCUUAGAAACUAAAGAGGCACCUCUUAAGGUAAAACGUGUGUGUAUUUGCCAGCCCAGAAUAAACAAAAGCCUGUUAAUCAAUCGAGUUUGGCAGCUGUGUUCACAAAAUGAUAAGGGUUUAUCAUUUGCCACCAAACUUUAAGAUGUCCCUUAAAAUGCUGUGAUUGGUUUUUAGGUUGUCCUGUGGUGUGGAGGCUUGGCGUUUGUAUUUCAAAAACAUUCAUCCUCUGCAUCUCUCCCCCUCACUAGCAUUGACAUUUCAAAAAAACAGAAAUAAGAGGAGGGAGGGAAAGAUAGUUUAAAGAAAAUAGAUUCGAAAUCUAGUACAGAUAAUAGAGGAAUGCUGGAGAUAAGAGCCUGGAGGUGAUAUGAGAAAGGCACCAAGAAGUCAAAGCUAAUGAAUGGCUGUGAGAAAAGUGAAAUAAACUAUUGAGAGAUCUAUUAAAGGGGGAAACCUGGUUAGGUGAUAUCAAAGGGGGUUAACUGAGAGGAUUAGGGAGGAUGUUAAUCAAGUGCUCUAAAGCAUUACAGGCUAUAAGGACUGAAAGAUUUGUUUACUGCAUUUUGCUUCAGAAAACAAAGAAUGUCUGGGUCCAGUUCAGAAGUCAAUUAGAGGUCAGCUUAGGCUCUCCAAGGGUUGCAGGGAAAAUACCUAAGUUACUAUAUUCUGACUGGAUGAUGCAAAAAUUAGGGAAAAAAAAUGGGGGGUGAGAGGGAGGUGCUUUCCUUACUAUUCUAUUUCAAAUCAUUAAAAUGCUUUGGUCUCUAGGGGGGAAAAAACUACACUGGUUAACAUAAUUACUAGCUCUGACAUUUUCAGAAGUUAUAGAGGUCUUUUAUUAAUUAAAUGGAGGGCUUAAUAAAGUAUUCCUAAUAAAAUUUAUGGUUGUCUUAAAACUUUCUAAACAGUGCUAUAAAUUCUUAAUAAAAUUAACUGGGAAAUGAGUUAUUAGCCCACACUUUACCCUCCCCCCCAAACUGCUACAUAAGGAGUGUCUGCAGAAUGAAAAGGAAAUAGAAGCCUUUUAGUAAAAUAUAAAUAUUAGCCAAAGUCAUGCAUUGCUCUGAAAGAGGCAAAGUCCCAACUGUUGUUUCUACUGGCCUCAUUCUCCAAUAUCCCCCAAAAGCUAUCCCACAAAACUUCAUCAAGAGAAUUUAUUCCCCUUCCCAAGUACCUAUUAUAUAUGCAUUUAUGUGUAAGUGCAUUUGAAAUACAACCUUCAAUUUUGUGGACUGAGUUGUAUGUUAAAUGUAGUAAAAAACAUAGAUGCAUCAUGCAAAGUUCCGCUAUAGAAUCUUCAAGUCUCACGGUGCAAAUACUUUCUUUAUUUUUAAUUAAAAAUAAAAUGCCCUGUAAUUUCUCUCACUUUAAUUUCUAUAAAGAUAACUUUUAAAUGAUAAAUUUCUAAAUAACAUUUUUCUCUGAAGUUAUUUAAAAGUGUAUUUUCUGAAGCAACAUUUUGUUGACAUAUGCAAAACCUUUUUAUAUCAUUACGUUUCAAAACUUUUAGUGAGUUAUCUUAAGUUUUCAGGUACUUCACUGCUUCACAGAUACAAUGCUGGCUGGUUAGCUAUUUUAAAGAAGAUCACACACAUACACUUCAAACCACAGCAGCCUUGGUGAAUUGUUUAGCAUUUGAAGGCUUGAUCUUUUGUGCCGUCUACUGGACAAUAGAAAAACUGCAGCCUUGAUGACAAACUUUAAUCUUGUUUUACGGGGGUGGGAGGUGGUGGUUGGGGGUAUGAUUUGGUGCUGGUAACUAACAAGAGAAAACCACAGUACCCAACUUAGACUCAUAGGACAGGUCUUGGGGUCUAACCAUGUUUUUCAAAUCCAAAGAUAGGAUAUGAUAUCAAUCAUAGGUGUAUAGCUCAAACACUUGAUUAAGGCACAAGGCUAAAACCUACAUUGAAUACAGCUGUGCAUGUGUGUGUACCCAUAUGCCUAAACUUGGGAAGACAGCCUGGGAAAAGAAAGGAAGAUAGGACAGAUUCAACAACUCUGAAAACAAAAACAAAAACAAAAAACAAAAAACAGUAGUGGUUGCUUGACACUGAGGAUGAAUUUGCUUGACAGUCAAGUUAAAUCUAUCUACUGCCUCGAUAAUCUAGCAUGUACAAAUCAGUUCUUGGAAUUUGGAAAGUGACAUUGGUAAUCAAGAAAAAAAACCCUUUAGGAGAGGGGAAAUGACACUGGUAAUUAUAAAAGUUUUAGUGCAGUUCCCUUUUGGCAAUUUGGGAUGAAAAUGUAAAACUUCAGUGUUUUCACUUGGAGAGCACAAGUGUUAGAAAGUGUGGGUGAAAUUCACAGUCAGACAACUUCAUAUGGCAGAGACCAUUUGAUGUUCUCUUAAACAUUAAGAAACAUUGUGCACAUUUUGGUUGUGAUUUAAAAAAGAAAACAUUUAUAGAUCUCUAGCAUUGUGGAAGCUUUGUAAAAAAAAAAAAAAAAAAGCAUGAAGCUAACUUUGACCUCUGUUCGACAGUGACAGUUUCUGAAGUAAUCACUGUUACCAUAGAGAAGUGAUUUUGUGAUUUAAGAAACAAAUAAGCCCAAUGCCCCCCAAAUAUAUAUCUGUAUAUGUAUCUAUGUGUGUAUAGACACACACACACACACAUACACAUACAUGGAGAAGUCAAGCUGAUUUUGUCCAAGAGACAUAGACUUUGGUGCAAGCACUUUUAAAAUUGUUCAUGUGCUUUUCUGAAGUUAAAACUCCUUAUCGCAUUUUAAUAAAACUUGCCAGCACUUGACUAGGUAUUAGGGCGUCUUUUAAUAAAAACCUAAUAGUGAAAAGGAGACAGCUUUAGGACAUUUUAUUGUGCAUAAAUAUAUUUCAAUGAUCUACUUCAAUAUACAUUUCGAUGUGGCACUAUGUCAGAAUGACUUUAAAAUAUUGGAUUAAAUAUAGAUACAUCAAGAGAAUCUGAACUGACAUUGGCUACUUAAAGCAGCGAGAUUGCUUGCACUGCUGUAUUAGAGCCUCAGUUGUUCUAUAUAAAUGGAGGUGUUGGUGGUGGGUGUCUUUUAAACUUUAGUAUAAACCACUGAACUGUGAAAGGUUAUUAUUUUAUGAGAUGCUGUUUGGAGUCAUUUUUUGAGAUGCUGUUUGGUCUAGAUCAGAAAACCAACCAAAAAGAAAAAAAAAUCCUCAUAACAAUAGCUUGAAAAUGUAGAAAAUUCUUCCAGGAACUAAUCACAAGUGCAUACACGUUUGAUAUAUUCUAAACUAAUAGUUGAAGUACUGAGUGCUGGAAGAGGUCUGGCGAACGUGCUCUAGUCACUAAUAGCAAACAUUUACCUUUGAAGCAACAGGAUGAGUCACACUGGCCAUGCUUAGCAUCCAUGUUCGACUGGAUAAAGGGGCAUAUUUUGUGAAAACCUUCAGGCAAAAAUCUUACUGAUUAUUCAAAAAUAAAUAUUUUAACAUUUCAUUGAGCUAUCUAAUGAAUAAGGAAAACAUCGAAGGCUUCCUGCGGCGCAGAAAGAAUUCUAGCAGCGUCAAAAACAUAAAGGAGCAAAGAACAAGAGGAAGCUGAAGGACGCCUGCUGAGUAGUUAUUCACUUGUGAAUAUCUGAAAACGUGCUUUUCUGUGCCCUUAUUUAAAAAUGAAAAACAAAUAUCAUCUUUCUUUGUCCUUUUAAAAAAAUUAACGUCAGAAUAUGGCUAUGCUAGCUAAACAUCAUUUUUUUUUUUCCAGGCGAUUUAUGCGAGAAAGGGCCAAUUUGAACACUGGUAACUAGUGGGAGAAAUAAACUUAUAAGCCACAAACACAUCGGUUCGCAACCGAGCCCACAGCCCCGCGAGGCGCCCCUUCUUCCCAGCUCCCGGAGGAUAACUUCAUUGACUGGCAGGUCGGCGGCCACUUCUGGGAGGGCCACUGUUUACCGAAUGAGAACCUCUCAUGGCACAGUCCUUACAGCAGGGCUGCCCUGUCGCCCUUGCGCGUCCGGGUGCCGGGUCCCGGCGGUGUUCUGCAGCGCGAUCCGGUCCCCGUGCCCUGAGCCACCCAGAGCCCUGGGCCUGCCUGCACCCUGGGGCGCGCUGACUCCCUGGGUCGGGUGGGGGUCCCGGCAGGAUGCACUUCCAGCUGCGGGGUCCGCGGAGUUUGCUCGCACCUGGUUUGGCGCAGGGACGUAGGUUUGGGGGACUGUGUCCCCUGGGAAGAGCAAAAGGUGAAAAGGUCCCCUCUCCCACCAGUGUGCCCCAUCCCCGCCAGUUUUGACUGCGAUCCUAUUUUUCUCUUUGGGGGUCGCCUCAGCCUGUGCCGGAGGGAGUUGGGAGUUGGUCAGGCUUGGGCAGCGGUGGGUGGCAGCCCGGGAGCCGGAGCAGGAGCGCGAGGACCCGCGGACUGGGGCGCAGCGACGAUGGCGCACCGGCUUCUGUCUUCUGCUGCUUUGGGGCUGAGCAUCCGAGGGCGCCUUUCUCCCCAGCUGGACUCGGGGACGCCGGAUCACCCCGCCACCUGCCUCUUGGCCUAAUUCUGGAAGCUUCUCGCCUCCGUUCCUGGACGGCUCUUCCUCAGGGGCAGCAAUGAGCCCCGGGGUGCGCUCAUCUCCUCCGAGAUCAAUUGCUCUACGAUUCCUUUUAGGACUUGCAGGGGGGAGAGGUUGGGGACCCCGGCCCCAGAGUGGCUCCUGCGGCACGGCGGCCCACUCGGAGGGGUCGCAACAAGCGCGCAUUUGUGGCCAAGGUUGUGAUUUCAGGUGCGCUAAUGGGAUCAGACGUCCUGGGAGAAGCGUGAGGGGAUUGGUGCCGUUCCUUCUCCCGGCUUCCAGCGGCCGCCGGGUGGAAGUGGGGACACAGGAGGGCCGCGCUACGGGCGCCCAGCGCGGGCGCUCACACCUCUUGAGGAGGCGUGGAACCCAGCGCCCCAGGUGGGGGUAGGGCGCGGGGGUAUAGGUAGUGAGGGGUGACGCUGGGAGAGGACCGGGAGACGGAGGAAAGGAGACAGCCGGGGACACUACUGAGAGAGGGAGUAAGAGAGUGCGCUGCAGAACCGGGGACAGAGCGGCAGAACCGACCGAGAGCUGGAAUUGGAUUGCGUCCUGUCCCAGCACCAGGACACAGAUAAACAGCCUCCCAGCACUGGUACUCGCCAGAGAAGGGGAAACCCGCGUCCCGCGCUGCUGCUUUCUGCUUCGGAGAACCUUAUCUAGACUUUUGCAUAAUUGCGUGUUGGCUUUCCUAAAUAAUUCGGAAGAGCGAUUUCUGCUUCCACUUGUUCACAUAGGCAAACAAUCCCUGUGGGGAAAAUGUGUGUGUGUGUGUGUGUGUGUGCGCGCGCGCGCGCGCGCGUUCCGGUGACAAUUGAGGCCAGAGGCAAACACAUCCUCUUUCAAAAUGUCCCUUAGGUGAUCCCGUAAAUGACUGUCCUGCUCUAGGCAGUGGGAGUCAUCAUCCACUGGGUAGGGGGCUGUGAUUACUCUGCCUAGGGACCACUUUUCACAGCUCCUUCCCCACCGUAGAUAAGGGUGUUAAAUCAAGGCAUUUAGUUCUACUUUUCCAUUGCACAGAUAAGCAAGCUGAGACCCAGAUAGGUUAAGUGAAGUAUCCAAUUUCUUCUCUCCUUUUCUUUUCUGUAUGCCUCAAGAUGGUUUUAUACACACACACACACACACACAUACAUACACACACACACACACCCUGAACUACGAAAAACAUCACAACUACGGAAGAAACAUUUUUUACUCUUCUUAUUUCCUAAGAAGACCAAAAGUCAGAGCUUGUCUUCUGUCAGAAGCAGAUGGGUGUGUGAUGGCAGUGUGUGAGUGUGCAAGUGUGGGGGGGCUGGGCGUUGGCGCCAUCCUUCCUCCUUCCCUGCUCCAUCCCUGACUCCAUCACCGAGCCCCUUCAGGGAAACACAAGGCAGGAGGUUGUACCGCUAUGCAGAAGACCCCUCCAGGUAGGGAGCUUGAAGAAAUGAAACAGCAGGGAGAACCUGUAUUUGGUGGUGAAAGUGCUGGAAUCUUCUAGGCCUUGCUCAUCUCCAACCAGCUACUUCUCCAAAAUAAAGCAAAACAAAACAAAACAAAACAAGGCAAACAACAACCACCACAGGCCUUUUGCAUCAACUUCCUGUGACUAAGUGACCCUAAGCAGAGAACUGGCUCAGGUCACUUAGGGCAGGGGUAGGACAUUGAAGGCCUUAUUUACUCCAGGAUUAAAAACAGCAUCCCCUCUAACCCUGUCUCUCUUGGGCAGCCUGUCUUUUAAGGAUGUGAAAAGCAGCUUCUUGGAGUCUAAACAGGCACAAUACCCCACUGGGAUGUUUAGGUAUCAGGUUCACAAAAACAGCAUUUUACUCCUGCUUCCCCGAACCCCUUUGCAACCCAGGCUACCAUACUCUUUGCAAGAAUAUCCGGUAUCUUUUCCGGGCAAAAUGAAUUGAGUUGGCACUUCCUGAAAUAUUUUUAUUUUUAGCUUCAAAUAAUUUUGCUCCUAAAACAAAUUAGUUACUUAUCCUCUUCUCACCAUGCCCUAAUUAUUUUUAGCUUUAUUCUAAUUUUUUUUGUUACCUUGAAUUUUGUCUUGAUUUGAGAGUUUGGUAUAGAAUACUUGUUUGCAGACUGGUAAUCUGCAGUUUAUUUUGUUUUUAAAAAACUCUGUGAAGUUUACUGUUGUUUUAAAACUCAUGGAAUAUUAACAAAAAAUAACCUAAUAAUAUUCUUCGAGGCUUAAACUUUGGUUAUAGUCUAUGUCCUAGCCUAGCUUUUAUGAUAAGCCUGUUGCAUUUUAAAGGUGCUUAUUGAUUCACAUGUCUUUCAGUAAAAAAUCUUUUGAGGAACCCAGACUUUUGAAAGCUAUUUAAUUUGCAUGUAUUUGGUCAUUACAGGCUAAAACUGAAGAAUGAGUUUGGAAAUUGGUUCUAUUAGAAAACACUGUUUGCACAUCCAAAUGUUCCCAGUCAAGAUUUCCCAAUAGUGGCAGUGAGAAAGAGAGGCAGAGAGAAUUAGGAUACUUGGGUUCAAAUUUUAGCUUAGUCACUGAUGGGCUGAUUGAGUGAGAAGAACUUAAUCACCUGCAAAAUGAAUUGCUUACAGUAUUUUGAUCUCUAAAUACACUUUUGAUUCUGAUAUUUAAUGAUUUUGUAUUACAAAAUUGGGCAGAAAACGCAUAGCUUCAUAACAAGCAAAAAAUUUUACUGUUAACACAUCAUACUUAUUUUAGAGUAAAUUUGAAGGAGGUUGAUGUUUUGGAAUUUGGUUGGAGAGUUAUCCAAAAGCAAUGUUUCCCUGACUCAACUACAACCAAUUACACACAGUGGCCAGUAGGAAAAGGAUUAAGUUGUCCAGACAAAAUAUAAUGGUAACAAAAAAUAAUCUUGUGCUUUUGACAUCUUUCUGUUUACUUGUUUUUGUCUUGUUCUAAUGCCCCCUGAAUUACUAUUUUCUAAAAAACAGUCUCAUCUAAAAUAAAACAUAGUAAUGUGUUUUCAAAUGAGACAUUUUAUUGUAGUUACGAUUUCUUUUGUAUAUUUUCCUAAUGCAGACUACAAUAAAUACACUAAAAUAUUUCAAAUGGUUUGCUUGUGUAUAUGCUCUUAAGUCGUCUUUAUCCCACUUUGGGAAGCAUAUGCUGUGUUCUGAACAGUUUUAACUUUAUAUAUCAGCAUGACUAAGUCCUUUCAACAACUAUCACGCAAAGACCACGGAGAGCAG